rnacentral:rRNA from 1 species
UUUUCCUACGGGAGGCAGCAGUGAGGAAUAUUGGUCAAUGGGCGUAAGCCUGAACCAGCCAAGUCGCGUGAGGGAUGAAGGAUCUAUGGUUCGUAAACCUCUUUUAUAAGGGAAUAAAGUGCGGGACGUGUCCUGUUUUGUAUGUACCUUAUGAAUAAGGAUCGGCUAACUCCGUGCCAGCAGCCGCGGUAAUACGGAGGAUCCGAGCGUUAUCCGGAUUUAUUGGGUUUAAAGGGUGCGUAGGCGGCCUUUUAAGUCAGCGGUGACAGUCUGUGGCUCAACCAUAGAAUUGCCGUUGGAACUGG